rnacentral:rRNA from 1 species
ACUACGGGAGGCAGCAGUGGGGAAUAUUGGGCAAUGGGCGCAAGCCUGACCCAGCAACGCCGCGUGAAGGAAGAAGGCUUUCGGGUUGUAAACUUCUUUUCUCAGGGACGAAGAAAGUGACGGUACCUGAGGAAUAAGCCACGGCUAACUACGUGCCUGCAGCCGCGGUAAUACGUAGGUGGCAAGCGUUAUCCGGAUUUAUUGUGGGUAAAGGGCGUGUAGGCGGGAGCGCAAGUCAGAUGUGAAAACUCAGGGCUCAACCCUGAGCCUGCAUUUGAAACUGUGUUUCUUGAGUGCUGGAGAGGCAAUCGGAAUUCCGUGUGUAGCGGUGAAAUGCGUAGAUAUACGGAGGAACACCAGUGGCGAAGGCGGAUUGCUGGACAGUAACUGACGCUGAGGCGCGAAAGCGUGGGGAGCAAACAGGAUUAGAUACCCCAGUAGUC